rnacentral:lncRNA from 1 species
UUCUCGCACUUAAAAAGAGCGCCUUCGUCUUUUUCAGGGCACGUCCAGGAGGGAAUGGGACACAGUUAGUGUCCGCGAGAUUUGGAAUGGACGGCUAUAUAUGUCCUACAACCCACUGUUCUCACGAGGGCGACCCAUCCUGCGGCCCAUGCACUUGUGUGCAGAGAACCGACAAUAACCGCUUUAUGUGUGUCGACAUGAGUAGUUUCGGCCGCCGCUAAGUUGAAAUUCUCAUGUUAUAUAUAUUACUAAUAACGGCCUUCGAUAAAUAAAGCUUUCUAUUUCCGAAU